CCUCAAGCGCCGCCAUCUUGGCUGUCGAGUCCGUCAGGCAGCCGAGUCCGUACGUUCGCGGGAAACAUGGCCGCGCCUAUGUGAGGCUUUCCGGAGGGCGUCGCCACCUUCUCCGUCGAGUCCGUACGGCGGACUCUUGGAAUUACUCGACGUUAUAGGCAAUAUGGCCACAUCUACUUUGUGAUUUCCAUUCAGACGCCGACUUCUUGGAAUCUGACUCCGUAAGGGGCCCGACUCCGUACGUUCCCAGACGAUAUAUGCCGGCGUCCUGGUCGCAGUUUCGCGGAGGGGGAUGCCAUCGUGGCUGUCAAUUCCGAACAUCGACCGACUCUCCUGCCCGUCUGUUUACAGAUACACACAGCUGCCUCCUGCGAACUACUGCUUGGAUCAAGUCCCGUUCAGUUCCCCUUCCACGUAUGACAGUGGGGCGCCGGCAGACUCUGUGCCUUGCCUGGGCGAAGCAAACCGGGAUCCCCAGGUGUCUCCGACUUCACCUGCCUUCACCCGCUCUCACUCUUGGCUGUUAACCAGGUGGCUUACACCCUCCUUGACAGGAAGAAGAUAUCCCCCACCCUCCUACCCCCACCCCCUGUGAGCUGGCCUUUGCUCCUUUCACGAUGACACCCUAAACAUGAAGCUGGCCCAGGAGGAGAUUCAAAUGGCAGUCUUGAUGGUAAGAUCACCCACACCUAUGAGUCCUAUUCAGCUCUGCCAGAUCCCACACAGCACUGGACAAGAGGUGAAUGCUGCAGCCACAGAGCCUCUCAGAGAUGGGUAUAGCCUUCCAAGAUGCCAGUCAACCUGUUAACUACAAGACAUUAUGAAGCAAGACUUUACCCCUGAAACCUUAUCCCUGCCUUUGAUAUACCUCCUUAAAUAAGCCACUGGAGCCAUUUUCUAAUUGUUCAGCUCCAUCUCCUAUGUGGGCUGGAUAUAUAAGGCGCUCUGCUUUUGAAACCUAUUCUUUGACUCUGCCUCUUAUUUCUUCAUUAACUAUUGCAGAUUGUAUUUUCUGAGGUGGCUUAUCCCCUCCUGCACAGGAAAAAUUACCCUGGUGAGGCACUGGUUGCCUUGUGAUAGAUAAAUGUUUGUAAAUGUACACAGUAACAAAAAUAAUUAUUUUUACACUGUUUAAA